GGCAAUAUGGCCGAGCGGUCUAAGGCGCUGGAAUCAGGCUAUUGCUAAAUCCAGUCCGAAAGGGCGUGGGUUCGAAUCCCACUGUUGUCA